AACGUGUUUCAUUUCCAGUUCAGGCUCAGACCGGCCAACAGCUUUUCCCCGUACUCUCAUUUCCGUGCGUCUCGAUUGUGAACCCUCUCACACUUGCGGAUCCAUUUGAGUAUUUUUAUUAUAAAAAAAAAAUUGAGAAAACCGUUCUGUGCUUUGUGUUUUUUCUAAAUUACUUUGGUUUAAAAACGAGUGGAGAUGGAUUCUCCAAUUUGACACAUCCGAAGGAUUUUUCGUGAAAAAAGAAUUGGUGAAAUCGGAUCAAUAUGAAAAUUCUUUUUGGGUCCUUCAUGGAAAAUGGAGUACAAUGCUGCCAGAGCGGGUGUCCUAUUUCUGUUCAAUAAAAAAAACUUUCAACCUGAUCAUACUGAAGGACUGCUACUCCUGAUGGAUAGAAAUCAUUAUGGACGAUGCUUCAUUUAAAAGCAAACAAAUUUAAUGUCAGAACAGAAAAACUUUCAACCUGAUCAUACUGAAGGACUGCUACUCCUGAUGGGUAGAAAUCAUUAUGGUCGAUGCUUCGUUUAAAAGCAAUCAAAUUUAAUUCAGAACAGAAAAACUUUCAACCUGAUCAUACUUAGGGACUGCUACUCCUGAUGGAUAGAAAUCAUUAUGGACGAUGCUUCGUUUAAAAGCAAUCAAAUUUAAUGUCAGAACAGAAAAACUUUCAACCCGUAUCAUACUGAAGGACAGCUACUCCUGAUGGAUAGAAUUCGUUAUGGACAUUAUGCUUCGUUUAAAAGCAAACAAAUUUAAUGCCGGGUUUCAGGGAGGCUUCUGAAUCACCUUCGUUCUCAAGUCUUGUCUGCUGAUCAGAAACAUCAGCUGGACUCGAAUAUAUUUCAAAACAUUCUGAUCGCCACAAAACUUAACUUUCAAGGUGCUUUAUCCAAGACGUUGUCUUGAUUCCGUGGUAAAUAAGCUUUGAAACUACUAUAUCGUCUUAACACCAUCGAAUUUUGUAACAAACCACUUUUUUAUGGAAAAAACCGACUCGUCAAAUAUCAAAAAUCCAUGUCUAUUUAUGGAGCUUUUAAUUAAUAAUUAAAUUUAAUUAAAACUAGAAACACUCAGUUGUUCUGUCAA
rnacentral:lncRNA from 1 species